CAACAAACUGCUCCGCUCUUCCGUCAGGCUCACUUGAACAGCGCUGCUGAUGCUGCUUUUCAGUGAUUGAAAGCUUGCACUUCUUAAGCAACCCGAGUGUGAAGGAGACCUCCUUGGGUCAGGCACCUCACAUCAACUAUAUACAGGAACGGUCUCCGCAGAAUCAGAGGUAACAGACUGGGAGGGAACCCACAUGGAACUGUCCUCUCCUUCAGCCAGUUUUUCCCACU